rnacentral:rRNA from 1 species
UACGAGGGGGGCAAGCGUUGUUCGGAAUUAUUGGGCGUAAAGGGCGCGUAGGCGGUGCGGUAAGUCACCUGUGAAAUCUCUGGGCUCAACUCAGAGUCUGCAGGCGAAACUGCCGUGCUGGAGUAUGGGAGAGGUGCGUGGAAUUCCCGGUGUAGCGGUGAAAUGCGUAGAUAUCAGGAGGAACACCGGUGGUGUAGACGGCUCACUGGACCAUAACUGACGCUGAGACACGAAAGCGUGGGUAGCAAACAGG